rnacentral:rRNA from 1 species
AGUUUGAUCCUGGCUCAGAGUGAACGCUGGCGGCAGGCCUAAUACAUGCAAGUCGAACGGCAGCACAGCAGAGCUUGCUCUGUGGGUGGCGAGUGGCGGACGGGUGAGGAAUACAUGGGAAUCUGCCCAGUCGUGGGGAUAACGUAGGGAAACUUACGCUAAUACCGCAUGCGCCCUUCGGGGGAAAGCCGGGGACCGUAAGGCCUGGCGCGAUUGGAUGAGCCCAUGUCGGAUUAGCUAGUUGGCGGGUAAAGGCCCACCAAGGCGACGAUCCGUAGCUGGUCUGAGAGGAUGAUCAGCCACACUGGAACUGAGACACGGUCCAGACUCCUACGGGAGGCAGCAGUAGGGAAUAUUGGACAAUGGGCGCAAGCCUGAUCCAGCCAUGCCGCGUGAGUGAAGAAGGCCCUCGGGUUGUAAAGCUCUUUUGUCCGGAAAGAAAAGCGCCGGGUUAAUACCCUGGUGUCCUGACGGUACCGGAAGAAUAAGCACCGGCUAACUUCGUG